rnacentral:misc_RNA from 1 species
AUACCAUUAUCUAAAGUAGAUACAGCCACAUAUAAAUUAUCAGGAGCAAUAGUAAGGUGUUUAAUAGGUGCAGGUAAUCGAGGAAGAAAAGAUUUUUGAUGUGAAUUUGCUAAAACCCAUUUCACUAGAACACAUUCUCCUCCUCCUGUAUACAUGUGACCACCUACAAUUUUUAUGGUAUAUACAGUUAUUGUACAUGUUGAAAUUUAAAAAAAUAUAAGAAAUAUAUAUCUUACCUGAUUUACUGAAUACUAUUUCUGUAACAGGUAAUGUAUGCCAAUGAUAAACUGCUGUAUAAGGUCUUGUUUGAAACAAACCCUUCCAGACUACGACACGACCAGUCGAAUCUCCUGUGGCAACACAUUCUUCUUCUGGAUGUCCAGCAAUGCACGUUGGUAUUCUACCUGUUUUACCCGUCUUAUGUCUGUGAUCAUGAAAUAAUUUAUCAACAAAAUUUCUUGAUGGAUUCAAUAUAUGCAAAUCUACAUCAUGAAGGAGUGCUAUUAAAUUCUCACCAUGAUUACCAAUUAUAUCAACAUAAUAUUCAUAAGAUUUUGUCCUGUAAUAAUAUGUAAAAAUAAUACAUCACAUAAAUAAUACAUAAUAAGAGCUUCAUCCAUAAUUGUUGAAGUGCAAAUUUUUCUUACGAUAUACAUGUAGACUUUGCACAAACUCCAUUAUCCAGAUCAAAUAACACUAUAUAAAUUUUUGUGUUGCAUUUGGAAAUAUAUGUCACAAGCACUUGACGCAACUCAUUUCCAUUAUGAGUUUUAUAAUUUACAAUGUGAAAUGUUUUUAUUUUUGGCUCUACUUGAAAUUUUAAUUCCUGUAAAAAGUAUAACAAUUAUGGAUUUAUAAAAGUCUCAAAAAUCAUGAUUUUAUACUGCUAAAAAAUACAUUUAAAGUUUAUACCAAUUUCUUUGUGAUAAUGCCACUUUGACAACUCCAAAAAUUUAAUUCUCCAUUUUCUGUACAGGCAAUGAUCAGAUUGGGAUUUUCUGGAUGUAUUAUUAAUCCUGCAAUUUUGUGAUUUGCUGGUUCUAAUUCUUUAACAAAAUCUCCAGUUUGUGUACUGUAAGCUCUUAUAACAUGCUUCCAUACUAUGUAUAAUGUUCUGU